rnacentral:rRNA from 1 species
GACAAACGCUGGCGGCGUGCUUAACACAUGCAAGUCGUACGGUAAGGCCCUUUCGGGGGUACACGAGUGGCGAACGGGUGAGUAACACGUGAGUAACCUGCCCACAACUUUGGGAUAACGCUAGGAAACUGGUGCUAAUACUGGAUAUGUGCUCCUGCUGCAUGGUGGGGGUUGGAAAGCUCCGGCGGUUGUGGAUGGACUCGCGGCCUAUCAGCUUGUUGGUGGGGUAGUGGCCUACCAAGGCGGCGACGGGUAGCCGGCCUGAGAGGGUGACCGGCCACAUUGGGACUGAGAUACGGCCCAGACUCCUACGGGAGGCAGCAGUGGGGAAUAUUGCACAAUGGGCGCAAGCCUGAUGCAGCAACGCCGCGUGCGGGAUGACGGCCUUCGGGUUGUAAACCGCUUUCAGCAGGGACGAAGCUUUUUGUGACGGUACCUGCAGAAGAAGCACCGGCUAACUACGUG